rnacentral:lncRNA from 1 species
GACAGAGCCUGGCUUUGUGCGGGAGGCAGACGCGCCCCGCGCGCCGCCCCCGAAACAUUCGCACCCCAUGCUGAGGCGCGCGUCUGGGAGUCCGUGGGCGCCCCGAGAAAUGAAGUUGAAAAUAGCACAGGAGCCCACUAUCACUGUGUGAACAUUUUGUGAAUGAAGACAUGUAUGAAAGGAUGUUUGGAGGCUUCAAGAAACGAAAGCCGAGAGUCUAGCUAGACCAGAGCCAUCCAGCCCAGGAGCGAUGGCCACGUGUGGCCGCUGGACACGAGAGACGUGGCCAGUCCAAACUGUGCAGUGCGGUUGAAAAAAACAUUUUGGAUAUAUGGUGUUAAAUAAACAUGAUUACAAUGACUUUCGCUGUCAGCCUC